CUAUGCGCCUUGCCAGCCCGCUCAGGUGUGCCAGCCGCCGCGGUAAUACGGAGGAUGCGAGCGUUAUCCGGAUUUAUUGGGUUUAAAGGGUGCGUAGGUGGUUAAUUAAGUCAGCGGUGAAAGUUUGUGGCUCAACCAUAAAAUUGCCGUUGAAACUGGUUGACUUGAGUAUAUUUGAGGUAGGCGGAAUGCGUGGUGUAGCGGUGAAAUGCAUAGAUAUCACGCAGAACUCCGAUUGCGAAGGCAGCUUACUAAACUAUAACUGACACUGAAGCACGAAGGCGUGGGAUCAAACAGG
rnacentral:rRNA from 1 species